rnacentral:rRNA from 1 species
UGAAGCUGGAUUCGCUAGUAAUCGCGCAUCAGCCACGGCGCGGUGAAUACGUUCCCGGGCCUUGUACACACCGCCCGUCAAGCCAUGGAAGCCGGGAGUGCCUGAAGUGCGUGACCGCAAGGAGCGUCCUAAGGCAAUACCGGUGACUGGGGGCUAAGUCGUAACAAGGUAGC